rnacentral:snRNA from 1 species
GCCCUUCGGGACAUAUGAUCAACUGAAAAUAUACAGAGAAGAUUAGCAUGGCCCCUGCAUAAAGGAUGACACGCUCAAUCAUAGAGAAGCUAUCUAUUUUU